AGAUCUGUGGCUCAAUGGUAGAGCACUGGCACACAAUGCCAGAGGUCGCUGGUUCGACUCCAGCCAGAUCUC